rnacentral:rRNA from 1 species
GAUGAACGCUGGCGGCGUGCCUAAUACAUGCAAGUCGAGCGAACGGACGAGAAGCUUGCUCCUCUGAUGUUAGCGGCGGACGGGUGAGUAACACGUGGAUAACCUACCUAUAAGACUGGGAUAACUUCGGGAAACCGGAGCUAAUACCGGAUGAUAUUUUGAACCGCAUGGUUCAAUAGUGAAAGACGGUCUUGCUGUCACUUAUAGAUGGAUCCGCGCUGCAUUAGCUAGUUGGUAAGGUAACGGCUUACCAAGGCAACGAUGCAUAGCCGACCUGAGAGGGUGAUCGGCCACACUGGAACUGAGACACGGUCCAGACUCCUACGGGAGGCAGCAGUAGGGAAUCUUCCGCAAUGGGCGAAAGCCUGACGGAGCAACGCCGCGUGAGUGAUGAAGGUCUUCGGAUCGUAAAACUCUGUUAUUAGGGAAGAACAUAUGUGUAAGUAACUGUGCACGUCUUGACGGUACCUAAUCAGAAAGCCACGGCUAACUACGUG